rnacentral:rRNA from 1 species
UUAUGUGAUCGUCUCUCGCAUAUCAAUAAGCGGAGGAAAAGAAACUAACAGGGAUUCCCUUAGUAACGGCGAGUGAAGCGGGAAGAGCUCAAAUUUGAAAUCUUCAAGGUUUUACCUUGACGAAUUGUAGUUUAAAGAAGUGUUUUCUGUUGAAGUUUUGGUAAAAGUUCUUUGGAAUAGGACAUCAUAGAGGGUGAGAAUCCCGUAUUUGACCAUUAUUUUCAGCUGUGUGAUACACUUUCAAAGAGUCGGAUUGUUUGGGAAUGCAGUCCAAAAUGGGUGGUAAAUUUCAUCUAAAGCUAAAUAUUGGCGAGAGACCGAUAGCGAACAAGUACCGUGAGGGAAAGAUGAAAAGAACUUUGAAAAGAGAGUUAAACAGUACGUGAAAUUGUCAGAAGGGAAGCGUUUGACACCAGUGUUGUUUUCUCGAAAAUCAAUUAAAAAGAGUUUAGAUUUUGUUGUGUAUUGACCUUAACAGCUUGCAUUUCAAUUUUCUUGCUUUUUUUAAUGCACUUUUCGUUUAACAAGUCAACAUCAGUUUCUUUUGUUGUAAAAAGGUCAUUGGAAGGUGGCUUUCUUUUCGGAGAAAGUGUUUAUAGCCUUUGACUCCUGCAAUCGGAGAGACUGAGGUCUGCAGCGUAGAUCCUUCGGGGUUAGAUACAUUUGUGCUAAGUUAUAGCUUUUUAUAGACAACUUGUUGACUAUGAUUAGUCUUGUAGCUUACUCGCUUAUGCUAUUUUACCUACGCUUAGGAUGUUGAAGAUGUAGCACAUCAU